rnacentral:lncRNA from 1 species
GGGCCGUAACUACCUAUGAGGCAGGGGAGGCAACUGCCUCCCCUGAAUUUUCCACACCCAAAUUUUUGUUUGAAGUAAAAAAAUAAAAUAUUGACAAUAUGUACACGAAGAACUUGAAUUUAUAUUAUAAACAACACAAGUUAACAGUUUUAACAGUGUUAUCAUGAUACGUGAUAUGUCUGUCAUUUUUCGGAUUUUUUAUCGAAAGUAAACCGUUUCAGUAUUUGUUUUUUGGUUUGUUUUUUUUUCGUUUGGCCGUCCGUCUGUUAUUCAGUAUUGAGGGGGUCAGUAUUCGUAUGAGAACACAUAUGAAACUUUGCUUUCGAUAAUUUUGAAUAAAAACUUAACUAUUCACAUCUAUUUGGGGGCUCGAUUAUUUAAGCAGAGGAUGUUCCUUUUGUAUUGUGAAUCUUUUAAGAUAUCGGAAAUUCGUUACCGCGGCUGAAUCAGCUGUUGGAUCGUUUUUUUUAAGUUUCCCGAUCGUAAGAGAACAUUAUGGUCAAUGCCUUAGUAGGUAAACACUCCCAUUUGUUGCAGCAGGGACUUUC